rnacentral:rRNA from 1 species
CCUACGGGUGGCUGCAGUGAGGAAUAUUGGUCAAUGGGGGAAACCCUGAUGCAGCGACGCCGCGUGGGUGAAGAAGCGCCUCGGCGCGUAAAGCCCUGUCAGCAGGGAAGAAAAUGACGGUACCUGAAGAAGAAGCCCCGGCUAACUACGUGCCAGCAGCCGCGGUAAUACGUAGGGGGCAAGCGUUAUCCGGAUUUACUGGGUGUAAAGGGGGCGCAGACGGCGAGGCAAGCCAGGAGUGAAAGCCCGGGGCCCAACCCCGGGACUGCUCUUGGAACUGCGUGGCUAGAGUGCAGGAGGGGCAGGCGGAAUUCCUGGUGUAGCGGUGAAAUGCGUAGAUAUCAGGAGGAACACCGGUGGCGAAGGCGGCCUGCUGGACUGCAACUGACGUUGAGGCCCGAAAGCGUGGGGAGCAAACAGGAUUAGAUACCCCUGUAGUC